rnacentral:rRNA from 1 species
UACAGAGGGUGCGAGCGUUAAUCGGAAUUACUGGGCGUAAAGGGUGCGCAGGCGGCCGAGCAAGUCGAGUGUGAAAGCCCCGGGCUUAACUUGGGAAUUGCGCUCGAAACUACUUGGCUGGAGUGUGGCAGAGGAAGGUGGAAUUCCAGGUGUAGCGGUGAAAUGCGUAGAGAUCUGGAGGAACACCGAUGGCGAAGGCAGCCUUCUGGGCCAACACUGACGCUCAUGCACGAAAGCGUGGGGAGCGAACAGG